rnacentral:sRNA from 1 species
ACUGAGCUCUACGUCGAAUGUGAAACUGUUGCGAGUUUUCCGCCGAUUUCUCGCAACAGUUUC